GUGCUCGCUUCAGCAGCACAUAUACUAAAACUGGAAUGAUAUAAAGGAGAUUAGAAUGGCCCCUUCACAAGGAUGACAUGCAAAUUCAUGAUGGGUUUCAUACUAUG
ensembl:snRNA U6 U6 spliceosomal RNA